CAAAGCUUGCAUGCCACGAGUGGCCUGCACCACCACCACCGAGGUCCUCUGACUGCCCUCGAAGGGGAAUGGACUUGGCCCCUUGGAUACAGCAGGUCUGUGGAACGAAGAUGCUGGACCUCAGAAAGGCUUGGGGCUGGAUGGAUUUCCUUCCACACAAGGGACAGCAGUGGCCUAUGUGACCCAUUAUGGACGCUCUCCUGCC